UAAUUUACUGAAUAUGUCUUAUAAUUGUAGUGUUAAAUUAGCAUUUAAUGGAUGUCUAGAUCUUUAUUCAUAGUGGACGGUUAAAUGCCGAAAAUCAUGGGUAGGCAAAAAUCCUUUGAUCCAUGAGUCUCCUCGAAGUAAAAACUGAAAAAAUACGCUUAUCUUACCUAGGGAACUGAAACAUCUAAGUACCUAGAGGAAAAGAAAUCAACCGAGAUUCCAGUAAUAGUGGCGAGCGAACCUGGAAUAGCCCAAAAUAACAUAUUCCCAAUUGAACCGACUGGAAAGUCCGACCAAAGAAGGUGAUAGUCCUGUAAAUAAAGGGAAUAAUAAAGGAAUUUCAUAAUUCCUGGUUAAAAAGAGAGUCACUUGAGUAGAACAAACCACGUGAAAUUUUGUUCGAAGAUUAAGGGACCACCCUUAAAGGCUAAUAAUGAAUAAAGGAUCGAUAGAGAACAAGUACUGUGAAGGAAAGGUGAAAAGAAUGGGUAAAACCCAAGUGAAAAGAACCUGAAAUUGAAUGCUAUUAAGCAGUCGAAGGGAGUUUAUCCUACCGACGUACCUUUUGCAUAAUGGGUCAGCAACUUCUUAAAUAUAGCAAGUCUAACUUAAUAAAAUAGGAAGGCAUAAACUUAAAAAGAUGUAAAAGUUAUAUUUUUGAGACCCGAAACCAAGUGAUCUAAUCAUGAACAGGUUGAAAGUCUGGUAAAACAGGCCGGAGGACCGAACCCGUCUAUGUUGCAAAAUAGUGGGAUGAUUUGUGAUUAGGGGCGAAAGACCAAUCAAACUUGGAGAUAGCUGGUAAUCCGCGAAAUCUAUCUAGGUAGAGCCUAAAAUGAACGUUAUUAGGGGUAAAGCACUGAUUGAAACUUAGGGGGCUUAUGGUCCUUUAAAUUCAUUCAAACUCAGAAUACUAAAAACCAAUAUUUUAGAGUCAGACAGUGAGCGAUAAGGUCCAUUGUCAAGAGGGAAACAGCCCAGAUCGAUAACUAAGGAUCCAAAAAUAAUCUAAGUGGAAAAGGGAGUUUUUUAAUGUAGACAGCUAGGAGGUGGGCUUGGAAGCAGCCAUCCAUUAAAGAAAGCGUAAUAGCUCACUAGCCAAAAUUAAAAAGCACCGAAAAUAUAGAGGAACUAAGAUUUAUUCCGAAGUUACGAACUUGCCCGCAGAGGGCAAGUGGUAGCGGAACAUUCAAAUUCAAUGAAGGGUCAGGUCGUCCUGAUCUGGAGAUCUUUGAAGAGAGAAUGCUGACAUGAGUAACAUAAACAGCGUGAAAAACGUUGUCACCGAAAGUUAAAGGGUUUCGAUUAUAGGAUAAUCCGAAUCGAGUAAGUCGGCCCCUAAGUAAUCAAAAAUAAUGGGAAAUUAAACUUUUAUAGUGACUAAAAAUCUUAAAAAAAUGUGUAUAAUAUGGUAAGGUGCACUUUAACAGAUUUUUACAGGAAAAAACUUAAAAGUAAUAAACCGUACUCCAAACCGACUCGGGUUAACAGGUAGAAUAUACUAAGGUGAUUGAGACAACUGAUGUAAAGGAACUCGGCAAAUUUACCCUGUAACUUCGGGAGAAAGGGUGCGACUGGGUUUUCGCUCGGUCGUGGCACAUAAAUGGGGGUACCGACUGUUUACUAAAAACACAGGUCUUUGCUAAGAAGAAUUUUCGAAGUAGAAGGACUGACGUCUGCCCGGCCUCAGAAGGUCAAAUCGAUGGGUAUUCGCCCAGAAAUUAAGCCCUGAGAAACGGCGGCCAUAACCAUAAUGGUCCUAAGGUAGCGUAAUCCCUUGUCACCUAAUUAGUGACCCGCUUGAAUGACGUCACGAGUGCCCCACUGUCUCUACAUCAGACUCAGUGAAAUUGAAUUUGCCGUGCAGAUGCGGUAUAAAAAGUGAUAAGACGGAAAGACCCUAUGCACCUUUACUAUAACUUAAGAUUGAAAAAAAAUCCAAAAUGAGUAGGCUAGAUGGUAGUUUAUGAAAUCAGGGUUUCGGCCCUUUAUUGAAACUUAAGGUGAAAGACCAUCCUUUUAGGAUUUUUUAUCUCACUGGUCGAAAUGACGUCCAGGAAAAUCUUUGGUGGGUAGUUUGUUUGGGGCGAAUUGCUCCCAAAAGGUAACGGAGCAGUACAAAGGUAAACUCAAAAUGGAUGGAAACCAUUUGUAGAGCGCAAUGGUAUAUGUUUACUUGACUGUAAGACUUACCAGUCGAACAGAGAUCUUUUUUAGGUCGGUCAUAGUGAUCCGAUAAUUCUUUGUGGAAAGGUUAUCGCUUAUCGGAUAAAAGGUACGCUAGGGAUAACAGGCUAAUGAUCAUCUAGAGUCCAUAUCGCCGUGAUCGUUUGGCACCUCGAUGUUGGCUCAUCGCAUCCUGAGGGUGCAGAAGCUCUCAAGGGUUUGGCUGUUCGCCAAUUAAAGCGGUACGUGAGCUGAGUUUAAAACGUCGUGAGACAGUUUGGUCCCUAUCUAUCACUUACAGAGAAUUGAGAGGCCCUAAUUCUUGUACGAGAGGACCGAAAAGGUGAAACCUAUGGUGUUCCAGUUGUUCAACCAAGAGCAUCGCUGGGUAGCUACGUUUCAAUAAGAUAACCACUGAAAAUAUCUAAGUGGGAAUCAGCCCUCAAGAGAAAUUCUCAUAGAGCUGUGGAAGAUCACCACGUUGAUAGGCUAGGUGUUUAAGCAUGGUAAUAUGUUAAGCUAACUAGUACUAAUCUUGCUCAUUUCACUACAAUUUUG
rnacentral:rRNA from 1 species